GAACAAGCUAGACGGUGCGUCUUUGUCACGGUUUGCUAAUAGACUCACCAUAAAGAUACAAAUCUGAUUGCGAUGCUUAAGUUAGAGGAGCAACAAUGGUGAUCACAGUUCCCUGGGAAAAAUUGAAAGACUGAUACGGCUCAGGGAGGCUCAUGCCUGGAUACGAUUCUCAGAAUGGAUUGAAUAGGAAUAACAAUUUUCUUUUGGUAUCUCUCAUAGUAAGCUGUCCAAAAUGUUCGAUUUAGGAGCCAUAAUGCAUCAAAAUUAAAGCAUGUGAUUGGUGGGAGUGGAAUUGAUGAUCAAAACAUCAAAUGGAGUUUGAGUUUUCGAUGAGACCACAUUUCAUUGGUGAAUGCCCACGUGAAGAUGCGUACCGUGUCGUUAAAGCCUUUGCAGCAAAGGGGGAAUGGAUGAACAUGGAAUUAAAACGCUAUACACUAUUGCUGGUAAUCUGGUUUAAUAUAUCCGCGAGGAUGGGGGUUUAAUGUUCCACUUGUGGCUGUUGCAUCUAUCUGCAAUCCAUGGGAUCUUCUCAGCUUUUGGGAGUCUGCAGUUAGUUUAUGUGACUGUCUAUAUGACCAACGAUAAAUGAACUUACAGAAUUAGGACUGAUACAAAAUUUUAAAUUACAUCACUAAUGGACAUGACGACUUGAUAAAGUGAAUGACUUGAUAAAGAUCAAACAUAUCGUUCUAGAAACUACACAACAUGGAGGACAUAUUGCUUCUUGUGAAAGAAAGUCUGGGAAGGAUUUGUGACCAUAGAUGGAAUAUAAGUUUGUUUGUAAGGAGGUGAGGACAUUAAAUGGAAACGGAAAUUCACCAUGACCGCAAAUUAGUCUCCUGUAAAGCGGGGAUCCAACUUGAGAUGAUGUAUCCAUAUGCGGUUUUUUUGGACUUGAUCGAAUUGAGAGAAUUAGAGAUCUGAAAGUUAAAAUUUGGGAAGUCAUUCCAAGAAGACCCCAUCUUUAGAGAGAUCAAUGUGAUGCUUACAUAUGACAACAAUAAUCAGGGCUGGGCAGUGGUAUGGCAUGGCCUGAUAGAAGAUGACUCAAAGAGCUUGACUAAUUGGCUUCACCAGUAAAGUUAUCCGGGUGCACUGGCGUAACUGUAGUUUUAAAGCCAGGCACAUGUUGCUGAAGCUGCAGGUGCUUCAGCAAUCCUUAUUAUAACAACCAGUUGGUGAUGCUUCCACAAGAUGCUGGUGCGAGCUUGAAAAAGGAUCUCCAAAACAAGUUAGAUGUUUAUGUGCAGCCAUACACUUCAAAGUUCAAAGUGCCUGCUGUAAAUGGAAGUAUCGCCACUUCAAUGUAUAGAAAGAGAAAUCAUCGAUCUUGUGUCACAAAUCAAAAUCAACUACCUGCUGUUGGAAAAAUAUCCCAAUUACAUAAAAUGAUGAUUGAUGCUAACAUGCUAGUAUAUAUAUAUAUAUAUAUAAGCCCAAAUAAAAUUAUUUGCGGCGUUUGAUGAUGAUCUUUGCUAAAUUAGGUGAUGAACAACGCUGAAAUUGUAUCAAGUCUCUGGAUAUCAUUUGUUCUUCAUCCGCAGUAAAGAUAUUGUUAUGAACUACCAUCACUUUCUUCAACCUAAAUGACUUGGAUAUGACCAGCUUCAAGAAUUCCUCAAGAUUUUCCAACUUGAAGCCCGAUGAGUAGUCUUCCAGAACAAAAGGACGCAUAGAAAAUAUGUUGUGACAUAACUGUUCAUUAAUUAAUUGUAGCAUAUCAAGUCAGAAAACAUAUAUGUCAUAAGCGGCCGAAACAAUAAUUACCAUGUCAAUAACAUAUGCAUAUAUUUACAUACGUAUGCUGAUAUAUAAUUUCUUUAGAUUUGGGAA